CCUACGGGAGGCUGCAGUGGGGAAUAUUGCACAAUGGGCGCAAGCCUGAUGCAGCCAUGCCGCGUGUGUGAAGAAGGCCUUCGGGUUGUAAAGCACUUUCAGCGGGGAGGAAGGCGUUAAGGUUAAUAACCUUGGCGAUUGACGUUACCCGCAGAAGAAGCACCGGCUAACUCCGUGCCAGCAGCCGCGGUAAUACGGAGGGUGCAAGCGUUAAUCGGAAUUACUGGGCGUAAAGCGCACGCAGGCGGUCUGUCAAGUCGGAUGUGAAAUCCCCGGGCUCAACCUGGGAACUGCAUUCGAAACUGGCAGGCUAGAGUCUUGUAGAGGGGGGUAGAAUUCCAGGUGUAGCGGUGAAAUGGGUAGAGAUCUGGAGGAAUACCGGUGGCGAAGGCGGCCACCUGGACAAAGACUGACGCUCAGGUGCGAAAGCGUGGGGAGCAAACAGGAUUAGAUACCCUUGUAGUC
rnacentral:rRNA from 1 species